CUUUGGCUGUCAGUUGACUUGGCUGGGCGGGUCCAAUACCAGUUGGUUUCCUCUUGCCUUUGGCUUGAGGUUGCCAGCUGUGAGGGGUGGCUUGAAAAACUUCUAAACUAUUUAUCUGAAGACAGACUGCUAGCUGGCUUGCUGGCUGCAGACUGAAUUAAUAAAGACAACUCUCAACAACGGAUAUCUUGGCUCCCGUAACGAUGAAGAACGCAGCGAAAUGCGAUACGUAGUGUGAAUUGCAGAAUUCCGUGAACCAUCGAAUCUUUGAACGCAAAUUGCGCUUGAGGCCUCGGCCAAGAGCAUGUCUGGCUCAGCGUCGGUUUACUACCCUCAACCAAUUUCCCUCUGGGUAAUUGAUUGGAGCUGGCUUUCCGGUUUACCGAAUAGGUUGCCGGUCAGCUGAAAGUUAUUCGCGCUGUGGAAGCUGCUUUCCCCUAAAAAGGAAAGCCGAGUUCCGAUUUGGUAGGUGACCUUUGCCGGUUGCAUGCCUUCGUUGCUCGCAAUGGCUUUCAUGAUUGCGUGUGCAGGACGCCUUUUGGCUUUCGACCUGAGCUCAGGCAAGAACACCCGCUGAACUUAAGCAUAUCAAUAAGCGGAGGAAAAGAA
rnacentral:rRNA from 1 species